rnacentral:rRNA from 1 species
GUGCCAGCAGCCGCGGUAAUACAGAGGGUGCGAGCGUUGUUCGGAAUUAUUGGGCGUAAAGCGCGCGUAGGCGGGAUGGCAAGUCGGGUGUGAAAGCCCUCAGCUCAACUGAGGAAGUGCGCCCGAAACUACUGUUCUUGAGUGUCGGAGAGGGUGGCGGAAUUCCCGGUGUAGAGGUGAAAUUCGUAGAUAUCGGGAGGAACACCAGAGGCGAAGGCGGCCACCUGGACGAACACUGACGCUGAGGCGCGAAAGCGUGGGGAGCAAACAGGAUUAGAUACCCCCGUAGUCC